rnacentral:rRNA from 1 species
CACGUAGGGUGCGAGCGUUGUCCGGAAUUAUUGGGCGUAAAGAGCUCGUAGGCGGUGUGUCGCGUCGGCCGUGAAAACCUGCAGCUUAACUGUGGGCGUGCGGUCGAUACGGGCAUCACUGGAGUUCGGCAGGGGAGACUGGAAUUCCUGGUGUAGCGGUGAAAUGCGCAGAUAUCAGGAGGAACACCGGUGGCGAAGGCGGGUCUCUGGGCCUUACCUGACGCUGAGGAGCGAAAGCUAGGGGAGCAAACGGG